GACGAACCGAGCGAACGUUGUUCGGAAUCACUGGGCUUAAAGGGCGCGUAGGCGGGGUCAUAAGUCUGUGGUGAAAUCCUCCGGCUCAACCGGAGAACUGCCUCGGAUACUGUGGCUCUCGAGGGUGGUAGGGGUAUGCGGAACUAUCGGUGGAGCGGUGAAAUGCGUUGAUAUCGAUAGGAACUCCGGUGGCGAAGGCGGCAUACUGGACCACUUCUGACGUUGAGGCGCGAAAGCAUGGGGAGCGAACAGG
rnacentral:rRNA from 1 species